UGGAGCUGGUGAUGGGUCAGUCACUCUGACCACAGGGUCACCGGGGAAUGUGAUACCCACAUAGUCACUGUGAGAUCAUGCAUUGGUUGUCAUGGCAACCAGCCUUGGUGAACUGGGGAGCUCAGAGAGAAGGAAGGGUAUGGAUACAGCAGGAUGCAGAAAGCAAAUUUCCCAGUGAAAAUUCCCCCAGCACAAGAUGCAGAACAGUGUGUGAAGUGUCCCGAAAAUAAGUAUCCAAACAUUGCGAGAGAUGGCUGUCUCCAACAAAGUGGUGAAUUUUCCAUCCCUCAAAGAACCUCUGGGGCUGAUCCUGGUCUGAACGUCUCUCUCCUUCUAUCUCCUCACAGCCCAGGUUUUAGGGGUCUUCAUUAAGCACCGAGACACCCCCCUAGUCCAAGCAAAAAACUGCACUCUCAGCUGCACCCUCCUGAUCUCCCUCAAGCUCUGUUUCCUCUGUGCCCUGACCAUUAUUGGCCAACCCACCCCAGCCUCCUGCCUCCUCCAACAAAUGGCUUUUGGUGUCGUGUUCACUGUGACCGUCUCCUCCAUCUUGGCCAAAAUUUUCACCAUGGUUCUGGCCUUCAGGGCCACAGGCUUGGGGAGCAACAUUAGAGGGUGAGUGGGGACCAGAGCCUCGACUUCAGUAGUCCUGUCCUGCUCCCUGGUCCAGGUAACCAUCUGUGUGAUCAGACUGGGCACCUCUCCCCCAUUCCCAGAGAUCAAUACAUGCUCUGGGCCUGGACUCAUUAUAAUCGAGUGUAA